UGGUUCUGGCAUCGAUGAAGAACGCAGCGAAAUGCGAUAAGUAAUGCGAAUUGCAGAAUUCCAGUGAGUCAUCGAAUCUUUGAACGCACAUUGCGCCCUUUGGUAUUCCGAAGGGCAUGCCUGUUCGAGCGUCAUUAUCACCCCUCAAGCCCCUGGGUUUGGUGUUGGACGGCCGGUCGAGUAACGCGACCCCUCCCAAAGACAAUGACGGCGGCCUGUGGCUCCCCCGGUACACUGAGCUUUUUACAGAGCACGUACCGGACAAGGGUGUCCGGGACUCGGUCCUCUCCUUUUAUUAGGAAACUUUUCUUAAGGUUGACCUCGGAUCAGGUAGGAAUACGCGCUGA
rnacentral:misc_RNA from 1 species